AAGGAGAUAAGCUAUAAUUAAACUAGCAACCUUCAAAGUUGCAAUAACCAUUUA
rnacentral:tRNA from 1 species